GACGAACGCUGGCGGCGUGCCUAAUACAUGCAAGUAGAACGCUGAAGGAGGAGCUUGCUCUUCUGGAUGAGUUGCGAACGGGUGAGUAACGCGUAGGUAACCUGCCUGGUAGCGGGGGAUAACUAUUGGAAACGAUAGCUAAUACCGCAUAACAGUAGAUGUUGCAUGACAUUUACUUAAAAGGUGCAAUUGCAUCACUACCAGAUGGACCUGCGUUGUAUUAGCUAGUUGGUGGGGUAACGCCUCACCAAGGCGACGAUACAUAGCCGCCCGGAGAGGGUGGUCGGCCACACUGGGAAGGAGAAACGGCCCAGACGCCUACGGGAGGCAGCAGUAGGGAAACUGCGGCAAGGGACGGAAGUCUGACCGAGCAACGCCGCGGGAGUGAAGAAGGUUUUCGGAUCGGAAAGCUCGGUUGUAAGAGAAGAAAGAGUGUGAGAGUGGAAAGUUCACACUGUGACGGUAUCUGACCAGAAAGGGACGGCUAACUACGUG
rnacentral:rRNA from 1 species